rnacentral:lncRNA from 1 species
CAUUGAUCUAGAAAGUGGCUUGAAGCAGCAUAACAUUUGGAGUUGAGCGACAAAACAUGCUGAAUCCGUGAAAUCUGAUGAUGCAUGCAUUAACAUAAGAGUAGGAAAACAUGACAUCCACGGUAGGAACCUGCCAACUUGAUAAUGGGAAUAAGCUCAUAACAUGAGAACCCAAUAAUACUUGAGAAGUUGUAUAACAGCAGACCAAUCGUUGCAAGGCAUGAAAGCAGCAGAGUAUAACGACAGGUACAUCCAAAUUAAGCAAGAAAACCCAC